rnacentral:rRNA from 1 species
AAAUGAAUAGACGGGGGCCCGCACAAGCGGAGGAACAUGUGGUUUAAUUCGAUGAUACGCGAGGAACCUUACCCGGGCUUAAAUUGCAACUGACGGAACCGGAAACGGUUCUUUCUUCGGACAGUUGUGAAGGUGCUGCAUGGUUGUCGUCAGCUCGUGCCGUGAGGUGUCGGCUUAAGUGCCAUAACGAGCGCAACCCUUACGGGUAGUUACCAUCAGGUUAUGCUGGGGACUCUACCCGGACUGCCGUCGUAAGAUGUGAGGAAGGUGGGGAUGACGUCAAAUCAGCACGGCCCUUACGUCCGGGGCUACACACGUGUUACAAUGGGGGGUACAGAAGGCAGCUACACGGCGACGUGGUGCUAAUCCCAAAAGCCUCUCUCAGUUCGGAUUGGAGUCUGCAACCCGACUCCAUGAAGCUGGAUUCGCUAGUAAUCGCGCAUCAGCCACGGCGCGGUGAAUACGUUCCCGGGCCUUGUACACACCGCCCGU